AACGAACGCUGGCGGCGCGUUUUAAGCAUGCAAGUCGAACGGCAGUCUGUAGCAAUACAGACGAGAGUGGCGAACGGGUGAGUAACACGUAGGUAAUCUACCUCUGGAUGGGGGAUAGCGCAUGGAAACAUGGGGUAAAACCGCAUAAGGUUUAAUUACGAGAGUGGUUAAAUGAAAGGCGCAGUUGUGCUGUCUGGAGAUGAGCAUGCGGUCCAUUAGCUAGUUGGUAGGGUAAAGGCCUACCAAGGCGACGAUGGAUAGCCGGCCUGAGAGGGUGUACGGCCACACUGGGACUGAGACACGGCCCAGAAGCCUACGGGAGGCAGCAGCUAAGAAUCUUCCGCAAUGGGCGCAAGCCUGACGGAGCGACGCCGCGUGAAUGAUGAAGGCAGAAAGGUUGUAAAGUUCUUUUCUUGGGGAAGAAUAAGGCAGGUAAUGGAACGAUCUGCCGAUGACAUUAACCGAGGAAUAAGCCCCGGCCAAUUACGUGCCAGCCGCCGCCGUAAUAC
rnacentral:rRNA from 1 species